AGCGAACGCUGGCGGCAGGCCUAACACAUGCAAGUCGAACGGUCCUUCGGGAUAGUGGCGGACGGGUGAGUAACACGUGGGAACGUGCCUUUUGGUUCGGAACAACUUGGGGAAACUUAAGCUAAUACCGGAUGUGCCCUUAGGGGGAAAGAUUUAUCGCCAUUAGAGCGGCCCGCGUCUGAUUAGCUAGUUGGUGGGGUAAAGGCCUACCAAGGCGACGAUCAGUAGCUGGUCUGAGAGGAUGAUCAGCCACAUUGGGACUGAGACACGGCCCAAACUCCUACGGGGUGCAGCAGUGGGGAAUCUUGCGCAAUGGGCGAAAGCCUGACGCAGCCAUGCCGCGUGAAUGAUGAAGGUCUUAGGAUUGUAAAAUUCUUUCACCGGGGACGAUAAUGACGGUACCCGGAGAAGAAGCCCCGGCUAACUUCGUGCCAGCAGCCGCAGUAA
rnacentral:rRNA from 1 species